rnacentral:rRNA from 1 species
UCAUCAUCAGUGAAAUCGAGUAAGGCGGGACACGUGAUAUCCUGUCUGAAUAUGGGGGGACCAUCCUCCAAGGCUAAAUACUACUGACUGACCGAUAGUGAACCAGUACCGUGAGGGAAAGGCGAAAAGAACCCCUGUGAGGGGAGUGAAAUAGAACCUGAAACCGUGUACGUACAAGCAGUAGGAGCACCUUCGUGGUGUGACUGCGUACCUUUUGUAUAAUGGGUCAGCGACUUAAUUUUAGUAGCAAGGUUAACCGUUUAGGGGAGCCGUAGGGAAACCGAGUCUUAACUGGGCGUACAGUUGCUAGGAUUAGACCCGAAACCAGGUGAUCUAGCCAUGGGCAGGUUGAAGGUUGAGUAACAUCAACUGGAGGACCGAACCGACUAAUGUUGAAAAAUUAGCGGAUGACUUGUGGCUAGGGGUGAAAGGCCAAUCAAACCUGGAGAUAGCUGGUUCUCCCCGAAAGCUAUUUAGGUAGCGCCUCGGACGAAUACUACUGGGGGUAGAGCACUGUUAAGGCUAGGGGGUCAUCCCGACUUACCAACCCUUUGCAAACUCCGAAUACCAGUAAGUACUAUCCGGGAGACACACGGCGGGUGCUAACGUCCGUCGUGGAGAGGGAAACAACCCAGACCGCCAGCUAAGGUCCCAAAGUAUAGCUAAGUGGGAAACGAUGUGGGAAGGCUCAGACAGCCAGGAUGUUGGCUUAGAAGCAGCCAUCAUUUAAAGAAAGCGUAAUAGCUCACUGGUCGAGUCGGCCUGCGCGGAAGAUGUAACGGGGCUAAGCUAUACACCGAAGCUGCGGCUACGUACCUUAGGGU